rnacentral:rRNA from 1 species
ACGCACGCUGGCGGCGUGCUUAACACAUGCAAGUCGCACGGAAAGGCCCUGCUUUUGUGGGGUGCUCGAGUGGCGAACGGGUGAGUAACACGUGAGUAACCUGCCCUUGACUUUGGGAUAACUUCAGGAAACUGAGGCUAAUACCGGAUAGGAGCUCCUGCUGCAUGGUGGGGGUUGGAAAGUUUCGGCGGUUGGGGAUGGACUCGCGGCUUAUCAGCUUGUUGGUGGGGUAGUGGCUUACCAAGGCUUUGACGGGUAGCCGGCCUGAGAGGGUGACCGGCCACAUUGGGACUGAGAUACGGCCCAGACUCCUACGGGAGGCAGCAGUGGGGAAUAUUGCACAAUGGGCGGAAGCCUGAUGCAGCAACGCCGCGUGCGGGAUGACGGCCUUCGGGUUGUAAACCGCUUUCGCCUGUGACGAAGCGUGAGUGACGGUAAUGGGUAAAGAAGCACCGGCUAACUACGUG